CUCCUUUGCCUGUAACCCCGGGCACUGGGGCUAAUCCCAGAUAGAUGAGAACCCCUGGAAUGGGUUUUCGUCCAAAAGGCACCAUGGUUAUGCUCUGUGGUGUCGCUCAAGGAUGGGGCCGCGCCCGAUCAGGCUGUUGGUGAGGCAAUGGCUCACCAAACCUAUAACCGGUACGGGCCGUGGGAGCGGGAGCCCGGAGAUGGGAACUGAGACAAGGUCCCAGGCCCUACGGGGCGCAGCAGUUACGAAAACUUGUCAAUGCACGAAAGUGUGAACGGGCUACCCCGAGUGCCGUCCGCUGAGGAUGGCUUUUCUCUGCUGUAAGAAGGCGGAGGAAUAAGGCGAGGGCAAGUCUGGUGUCAGCCGCCGCGGUAAUACCAGCUCGCCGAGUGGUAGGGAUGAUUAUUGGGCUUAAAGCGUCCGUAGCCGGCCUUUCAAGUCUCUUGUUAAAUCCAACGAUUCAAUCGCUGGACUGCAGGAGAUACUGUCAGGCUAGGGGGCGGGAGAAGCCGACGGUAUUUUCGGGGUAGGGGUAAAAUCCUAUAAUCCCGGGAAGACCACCAGUGGCGUAGGCGGUCGGCUAGCACGCGCUCGACGGUGAGGGACGAAAGCUGGGGGAGCGAACCGGAUUAGAUACCCGGGUAGUCUCAGCUGUAAACGAUGCUGGCUAGGUGUUGAAGCGGCUACGAGCCGCUUCAGUGCCGCAGGGAAGCCAUUAAGCCAGCCGCCUGGGGAGUACGGCCGCAAGGCUGAAACUUAAAGGAAUUGGCGGGGGAGCAC
rnacentral:rRNA from 1 species